rnacentral:lncRNA from 1 species
CGUGCCUACUUUGGUGAAAUGCUGACUUAUACGUAAUUAAGAAAUGUAUCGGUUGUUCUAAAAAUAGAAUAAUCUAAAAAUAUGCAAUUCUACUUUCUACUUACAAUAUAGUAUCUGUGUAAGACGAUGAUAAUCCAACAUCUUUUCGCCCUAGGGACCAAACUGAGCAUAUUAUUGGUCUAUACAAGGUGUCAUUUUCAUCGUAAAGGCCUUGGCUAACUUUAUGGGUAGUUGCCUUUAUGUUGGUCUUCUAGGCUUUUAUGAUGGUUUAUCGUGUUUUCCGCUUAAUAAAGCACGUAUUUAUAUUGAAAAACACAUGUUAAAGUUAGCCAAGGCCUUUACGAUGGAAAUGACACCUUGUAAAGACCAAUAAUAUAGUCAGUUUGGUCCCUAGGGUGAAAAGAUCCGGGGUUGGUAUGGUCAAUACUGGAGUCUGGAUUUUAAAAUUGGGGAUACGGGUCGAUUAAACAUUUGGUUGGCCUAUGUUCCCAUAUUUUAGUAUAAAUACAGAUUCAGGCAUGUAGUAGACACCCUAAGCAUUAGUUUGAGCUAGAAUAUACUCCAAUGGCAUGCCUGGGCGGCGCUGGGGGAAGAUUUUCACUCUUAUGGGUAGUUGCCUUUAUGUUGGUUUUCUAGACCUUUAUGAUGGUUUACCGUGUUUUCCGCUUAAUGAAGCACCUAUUUAUAUUGAAAAAAAAACAUGUGAAAGUUAGCCAAGGCCUUUGCGAUGAAAAUGACACCUUGAAUAGACCAAUAAUAUGUUCUGUUUGGUCCCUAGGGUGAAAAGAUCCGGGGUUGGUACGGUCAAUAUUGGCGUCUGGCUAUCAAAAUUGGGGGUAAGGGUCGAUUAAAUAUUUUUUUGGCUUACGGUCACAUAUUUGAGUAUAGGUAAAGAUUCAACCAUGUAGUAGACACCCUAAGCUUUAGUCUGAACUAUACUAUUCCCCUAUGCCUUACCUAAGCGGUGCUGGAGGGAGAUUUUAACUCUUGUCGGUAGUUGCCUUUAUGUUGGUUUUCUAAGCUUUUAUGAUGGUUUAAUGUGUUUUCGGCUAAAUGAAGCACCUAUUUAUUUUGAAAACACAUGUUAUAGAUAGUCAAGGCCUUUACGAUGAAAAUGACACCUUGUAUAGACCAAUAAUAUGCUCAGUUUGGUCCCUAGGGUGAAAAAUUCCUGGGUUGGUAUGAUCAAUAUUGGCGUCAAGCUAUCCAAAUUGGGGGUAAAGGUCGAAUAAAUAUUUUGUUGGCCUACGUCCACAUAUUUUAGUAUAAAUAGAGAUUUAGGCAUGUAGUAGCCACCCUUAGCAUUAGUUUGAGCUAUAAUAUACCCCAAUGGCAUGCCUGGGCGGUGCUGGGGGAAGAUUUUCACUCUUAUGGGUAGUUGCCUUUACGUUGGUCUUCUAGGCUUUUAUGAUGGUUUAUCGUGUUUUCCGCUUAAUGAAGCACGUAUUAAUAUUGAAAAACACAUGUUAAAUUUAGCCAAGGCCUUUACGAUGGAAAUGACACCUUGUAUAGACCAAUAAUAUGCUCACUUUGGUCCCUAGGGUGAAAAGAUCCGGGGUUGGUAUGGUCAAUAUUUGCGUCUGGAUUUUAAAAUUGGGGGUAAGGGUCGAUUAAACAUUUUGUUGGCCUAUGUCCACAUUUUUUAGUAUAAAGAAAGAUUCAGGCAUGUAGUAGACACCCUGAACAUUAGUUUGAACUAGAAUAUACCCCAAUGGCACACCUGGGCGGUGCUGGAGGAAAAUUUUAACUCUUAUGGGUGGUUGCCUCUAUGUUGGUUUUCUAGGAUUUUAUGAUGGUUUAUCGGGUUUUCCGCUUAAUGAAGCACCUAUUUAUAUUGAAAAAAACAUGAUGAAGCUAGCCAAGGCCUUUACGAUGAAAAUGACACCUUGAAUAGACCAAUAAUAUGCUCAGUUUGGUCCCUAGGGUGAAAAGUUCCGGGGUUGGUACGGUCAAUAUUGGCGUCUGGCUAUCAAAAUUUGGCGUAAGGGUCGAUUAAAUAUUUUUUUGGCUUACGGUCACAUAUUUGAGUAUAGGUAAAGAUUCGAGUAUGUAGUAGACACCCUAAGCUUUAGUCUGAGCUAUACUAUACCCCUAUGCCUUGCCUAAGCGGUGCUGGGGGGAGAUUUUAACUCUUGUGGGUAGUUGCCUUUAUGUUGUUUUUUAGGCUUUUAUGAUGGUUUAAUGUGUUUUUGGCUAAACGAAGCACCUAUUUAUGUUGGAAACACAUGUUAUAAUUAGCAAAGGCUUUAACGAUAAAAAUGACACCUUGUAUAGACCAAUAAUAUGCUCAGUUUAGUCCCUAGGGUGAAAAAAUCCUUGGUUGGUAUGGUCAAUAUUGGCGUCUGGAUAUUAAAAUUGAGGGUAGGGGCCGAUUAAAUAUUUUUUUGGCCUAUGUCCACAUAUUUCAGUAUAAAUACAGAUUCGGGCAUGUAGUAGACACCCUAAGCAUUAGUUUGAGCUAAAAUAUUCCCAAAUGGCAUGCCUGGGCGGUGCUAAGGGAAGGUUUACACUCUAUGUGUAGUUGCCUUUUUUUGUUGGUUUUUCCAGGCUUUUAUGAUGGUUUCAUGUGUAUUCCGGUGAAGGAAGCACCUAUUUCUGUUGGAAACACAUCUUAAAGUUAGUCAAGGCCUUGACGAUGAAAAUGACACCUAGAAUAGACCAAUAAUAUGUUCAGUUUGGUCCCUAGGGCGAAAAGAUAUGGGGUUGGUAUGGUCAAUACUGGCGUCUGGAUAUUAAAAUUGGGGGUAGGGGUCGAUUAAAUAUUUUGUUGGCCUAUGUUCCGAUAUUUUAGUAUAAAUACAGAUUCAGGCAUGUAGUAGACACCCUAAGCAUUAGUUUGAGCUAGAAUAUAACCCUAUGGCAAGCCUGGGCGGCGCUGGGGGGAGAUUUUCACUCUGAUGGAUAGUUGCCUUUAUGUUGGUUUUCUAGACUUUUAUGAUGCUUUAUCGUGAUUUCCGCUUAAUGAAACACCUAUUUAUGUUGGAAAACACAUGUGAAAGUUAGCCAAGGCCUUUACGAUGGAAAUGACACUUUGAAACGACCAAUAAUAUGCUCAAUUUGGUCCCUAGGGUGAAACGAUCCGCGGUAAGCAUGGUCAAUAUUGGCGUCUUAAUAUUAAAAUUGGUUGGUAGGGUUCGAUUAAAUAUUUUUGUUGGCUUACAUUGACAUAUUUUCUUAUAAGUAAAGGUUCAGGAAUUUAGUAAACACUCUUAGCAUUCGUUUGAGCUAUAAUAUACCCCAAUGGCAUGCCUGUGCGGUGCUGGGGGAGAUUUUUACUCUGAUGGGUAGUUGCCUUUAUGUUGCUUUUCUUGGCUUUUAUGAUGAUUUAUCGUGUUUUUCGCUUAAUGAAGCACCUAUUUAGGUUGGAAAACACAUCUUAAAGUUAGCCAAGAACUUUUUGAUGAAAAUGACACCUUGUAUAAACCAAUAAUAUGAUCAGUUUGGUCCCUAGGGUUAAAAGAUCCGGGUUAGUAUGGUCAAUAAUGGCGUCUGGCCUUCCAAAUAAGGGCAAGGGUCGAUUAAACAUUUUGUUGGCCUCCGUCCACAUAUUUUAGUGUAAAUAAAGAUUCUGGCAUGUAGAAGACUCCCUUAGCAUUAGUUUGAGCUAUAAUAUAUACCCAACAGCAUGCCUGGGCGGUGCUUGUGGAAGAUUUUCACUCUUAUGGGUAGUUGCCUUUAUGUUGGUUUUCUAAGCUUUUAUGAUGGUUUAUCGUGUUUUCCGCU